rnacentral:misc_RNA from 1 species
ACGUGAUACUCACGUAUUAAAACCCACCGAGAAUUUGUUAUUAUCCUAGUUUAAGAGGCAGGUAGGCGAAGUGAGGAAAUGCUAUUGGUUUUAUUACCAUGACUCAUUAGUCGUUCUUAGGUCCGCCCUGGAGCUUGCGCUGACAACUAGUUGACGAGUUACGACUGCUUAUUAAGCCUGUAGCAUAGCUUGCAGAUCGUAAUGACCUUAUUAACCCCAUUUUUACUAUUAUUUACUGAUUUGUACGUUUAUAUGAAUUCCUAACUUUUACUAGUUGGUUGUAGUUUAUAUAGAUGUCGUAUAUUACUAAUACGAAACAACUCUUAGCAACGGAUAUCUUGGUUCU